GGAACAGCCAAUCAGAUGGAGGAAUGCGGCUCCACACACCCUGGAGGUUCUUUCUGUCAGCAGCAGUACUACGAUCAUCCUCAGCCUGGCCGGAGAUCUCAGUGACGUCAUAUCGCCACUCCGGUGUUCGCUCCUCAGGCCCGGGCUUGUCAUCGCAUUUUGGCACCUUAUAGGGUGCGUUAUGUCUGCUCCGUGUCACGUGACAUCUCUACAGGUACGUACUAAAAUCACCUUCUGGUGGAGAACCCCUUUAACGGGUAAUGCAGGCAGCAUUGGGAAAUCAUUUCGGAAAUGGAUUUAUAUCCAAAAUGGAACCUGCCACAUCAGCUAGAACAGGUACUGGACAAUCCAUUCUUCUAAAUGUGCCUCUCUGGCUGUUGCACAACUACAACUCCCAGCAUGAUCUGACAGCCAAGGCCUGAGAGUUCUAGAUUUACAAGAGAUUCACAGGUCGGGAACAUAGAAAGUGUUUUCAGUUAUAGAGAUAAAUGGUUGUUCUCAGGAGAUACAGUAUCUGGAGUUGUAAGAGAAGCCACAGAUGACAGCACAAUCACACUUAUCACUCAGCGAUCAGACGAUAACCCUCCAUGACAUACAUGUGCCCCUGCCUCUACAUUAACCAUAUGACACUAUAGACUCUGGGAACAUUAGUUUUUACCCUGAAAACAAUGCAGAAAUAGGAUGAAGAUACAUUUGUGGCAACCAACGUAACAUUUAGUAGUCGUCCAGGAGAUGCUGU